UUUCAAUGAAGUUGAAUUUAA
ensembl:piRNA 21ur-10903 ncRNA